CUCUUGUUGAUUGGGGGGCGGAUGGUGCAAUACGUGUAGGCGCAUGAGUGGUGUUUUGCUUGUGUUGGUUGGUUGGAUCCUUGCUCUGGCAACGACGUCCAUCCUCUCAAGCAUUUUCAGUUUCGUCUCGAGAUACAUACUAUCCCGAGUCUGAUACUGGUUUCUUGUGUUGGGUACCUCACGAUGGCAAUCGGUAGUCUAAAUUCACAUUUCGCCUUUCGUUGUCCCUUCUUGGGGUGAUGUAGGGUGAACCAUGAAGCAGUCCCUGUGUCCCACUCCGCUCACAUUGAGUUGUGCUUGCGGAUUGGUCCACAGGGUAUUUGCUUGAACUCUCGGAUGCGGUGCACUAUAUACGGGCAUGAGGUCUCACGACUUCUUUCUGCUCGAACAAAAGCUUUCACGCUUAGUUGCGAGCGAUUGCGAUCCUCGUCUCGAGCCUCUUGGCAAGUGCGGUGGUCGC
rnacentral:misc_RNA from 1 species